UACCUCCUACGGGGGGCAGCAGUGGGGAAUAUUGCACAAUGGGGGAAACCCUGAUGCAGCAACGCCGCGUGAGUGAUGACGGCCUUCGGGUUGUAAAGCUCUGUCUUCAGGGACGAUAAUGACGGUACCUGAGGAGGGAGCCACGGCUAACUACGUGCCAGCAGCCGCGGUAAUACGUAGGUGGCGAGCGUUGUCCGGAUUUACUGGGCGUAAAGGGAGCGUAGGCGGGUUUUUAAG
rnacentral:rRNA from 1 species